AUGGUACAGUUGUGCAUUUUAAGUGCAAACGAGGGUAUACUAAAAGUACUGAUAAAGAAAGCACAAUAAUCUGCAGAGGCCAUAGCUGGUCAGUGCCUGAUGAAUUCUGUAGACGUAUAUCUUGUGGGGAUCCAGGGAAAAUACAGAAUGGACAUGUGUUGGUUACAGACUACCUAUUUGGCUCCAGGGCAACAUACACCUGUGAAGAAGGAUAUGAGAGGAGCACAACUCGGGAAUAUAGAGAAUGUCAAGCAGAUGGAAAGUGGAGUG